CGGUGUGUGCGCAUUCUAGAGCUGGUUUCAUUAGGUAUUUCUAUAAAAAAUUACUGUCGAAUCCUCUUUCAAAAGCACCUUUCAGUGGCAGAUCCUCUGUUGUUAAGUAAAGUAGCUCAUCGAUCCCCAUUUUAUUGGCUGCACCUUGAUCUGACGUGAGGGGUUUUCCCUUUUUGUUCACUUUCUUGAAGGUGAGCUGACGACGAUGGUAUACAGGCUGUUGUUCAAAAAAUGGUGAGGUUUCUUGUGGGUUAUCAAUUUAAUGACAAGCUCCUCCGAGAAGGGCUAGAAAACCGCCAAGUUCUUUAAGUUUUAGUUAUAACCGUACUGCUCUGGUGUCUGUCUGAUUUACCAGCGGGUAUAGUGGGGUA
rnacentral:rRNA from 1 species